GACGAACGCUGGCGGCGUGCUUAACACAUGCAAGUCGAACGAAGUGGCGAACGGGUGAGUAACGCGUAAUCAACCUGCCCUUCAGAGGGGGACAACAGUUGGAAACGACUGCUAAUACCGCAUACUUAAGGAGGGGAUUGCGUCUGAUUCGCUCGUUGGAGGGGUAACGGCCCACCAAGGCGAUGAUCAGUAGCCGGGUUGAGAGGAUGAACAGCCACAUUGGGAAUGGGACCCGGCCCAGACUCCUACGGGAGGGAGCAGUGGGGAAAUUUUCGAAAUGGACGAAAGUCUGACGGAGCAACGCCGCGGGAGUGAUGACGGCCUUCGGGUUGGAAAGCUCUGUUAAUCGGGACGCAGUACCGGAAUAGAAAGCCACGGCUAACUACGUGCCAGCAGCCGCGGUAAUUC
rnacentral:rRNA from 1 species